GGUUGCAACUUCUAUCCCAUUCAGCAUUUUGUCAUUAUUAGAGUAAACCAAGAGCAUAUCCUGGUUUUAUACCUUCAUUUUGCUAAUCCAUACAAGCACAUAGCCUAUUAGUUGUUGAAGGCUGUUACUAUUCUUUUCUUAUUCAUUCUUCCAGAUGCUUUUUUUGUAUUUUAUGCAAGUGAAAGAUGAGGCACAGCAGCUAGCUCUCAUUUUCGAAGAAACUGUUGGAGCUUUCAAGAACAAAAUUGCAGUUAAUGGUUCAUGUCAUAGAAAGCCAUGUCUAGGCUUAUCCAAGGGGUUUAAAAGAUCAGUGUUUGUCUACCUGCUUCAUCCUGUGCACUUUUCUUGAUUAUCCGUAGGGGAUGUGGGCAAGCCAAUCGUUUUCUCUUCCAGAGUUCCAGGAAACACAGGAGAAUAUAUGGCAAAAUUGAAGCUUCACACUGAAGUCACUGCCCAAUUGAGGGUAAUUGUCUAUGCUAACUAAGUUAUCAAAGGAGGCCACUUCUUUAUAAAUUUUGUUAAUAGAAGGUACUUGGUCAUGUAAGUCCAUAUUAUAUCAGGAAGCUAUUUCACAAUUAUUGAAGCCCUUCAAAUUGCUGGGAGAAAAAACCACUGGCCCUGUUUAGUGGUUGUACACUUUGCUUUUGGUUUUUUUGUUAAUGGGUUCUACACAUGAUCAAAAUAUGCCUCCAAACGACUUGAUGGUUGUUCUCACAUAACAUGGUUCAAAUUGCUGCUUUAAAUUACUCAUUUUUGAAUCCUUUGUAUUUAUUGUUUAUAUAUAUAUAUAUAUAUAUAUGUAUUUAUAUCUCUCUAAA